rnacentral:tRNA from 1 species
CAGCUGGUAGAGCAGAGGACUGAAAAUC